UGUUUGUCCCUAGUUCCUGUGUUGCCUACCUUUCGAAAGGUACUAGUGUGGCUUGUUGGAAUUUAUCUGUUCCAACCUCUUGUUGGGUUGUGAAGGGCUUUUGAGGUGAAGUGCAUGGAAGCCCAUUUAGUCCUGCAUGAUGCUGACUAUUUUGGGUCACAUGUACUAAUCGUGUUCUUGGAUGCGGUGCAUGAGGCGAACGUGGGUUUUUCCCCCACUGUGUCCCUUAUCGUUUGGUUGCCUUGAAUGAUGCUUUGCCUUGGUGCAUGCUUUGCCACUCAUUAUUGGGUCCAAAGCUUGCAUGAUGUGCAGA
rnacentral:misc_RNA from 1 species